GCGGAGGGAUCAUUACUGAGUUACAAACUCCAAACCUUUGUGAACAUACCACAGUUGCUUCGGCGGCCUCGCCCCGGGCGCGGCGGAACCCUUCGGGGGACCGCGGCGACCCGGACCCAGGCGACCGCCGGGGGACCCAAACUCUUGUCUUUUAGUGUAUUAUCUGAGUGGCAUAAGCAAAAUAAAUCAAAACUUUCAGCAACGGAUCUCUUGGUUCUGGCAUCGAUGAAGAACGCAGCGAAAUGCGAUAAGUAAUGUGAAUUGCAGAAUUCAGUGAAUCAUCGAAUCUUUGAACGCACAUUGCGCCCGCCAGUACUCUGGCGGGCAUGCCUGUCCGAGCGUCAUUUCAACCCUCAGCACCCCCGUUCGCGGCGGGAGCUGGCGUUGGGGAUCGGCCGUCCUCUGCGGCGGCCGGCCCCGAAACGAAGUGGCGGUCACGUCGCGACCUCCUCUGCGUAGUAGCAAUAUCUCGCAGCCUGGAUAGCGGCGCGGCCAUGCCGUAAAACCCCAACUAUAUCAAGGUUGACCUCGGAUCAGGUAGGAAUACCCGCUGAACUUAAGCAUAUCAAUAAGCGGAGGAAAAGAAACCAACAGGGAUUGCCUUAGUAACGGCGAGUGAAGCGGCAACAGCUCAAAUUUGAAAUCUGG
rnacentral:sRNA from 1 species